CAUUAAUAAAAUAAUCGAAAUAUGAAGUGUUUUUUUUACCCACAUCCGCACAAAUAAACAACUUCUAGACAUCCGUAAUUUUAUAGGUAUAAAAAGACGACCUCGACGUUGUUUAUUUCAAUCGACUACUGAGAAUUUCUAGCUUAUAGGGAGAAGAACAACAUCCACCAUGAAGUCUACACUGCUCUGCGCUUUCUUGGUCGUCUGUCUGGCAGCCGCGUACGGCAUUGGCGGGAUUAGAAGUGGUGAAAACAUAAACGAAUAUGAUGGCGAAAUGAUGGACGAAUCUGAUGUAGGAGCCUGCCUUUGUAGAUUUCUGUAUUGUCCGAGUGGAUAUCGUAAAGUUGGCAGGUGCGGUUGGAUUGGGGUGCACUGCUGCGAAUAGAUAGGAAAACAAUACCGAAAAGGACAAGCACCCUUCAGGACGGAUUCGACUGGACAUUUAUAUCAAUAAUAUAUUAUUGUAAUAUUUGCCAGUACAAAAAAAACAACAAAUAAAUAUCAAUAUUUAA